rnacentral:rRNA from 1 species
UACGUAGGGUGCAAGCGUUGUCCGGAAUUAUUGGGCGUAAAGAGCUCGUAGGCGGCUUGUCGCGUCGGCUGUGAAAACCUGGGGCUCAACCCCGGGCCUGCAGCCGAUACGGGCAAGCUAGAAUUCGGUAGGGGAGACUGGAAUUCCUGGUGUAGCGGUGAAAUGCGCAGAUAUCAGGAGGAACACCGGUGGCGAAGGCGGGU